AGUGAACGCUGGCGGUAGGCCUAACACAUGCAAGUCGAACGGCAGCACAGUAAGAGCUUGCUCUUACGGGUGGCGAGUGGCGGACGGGUGAGGAAUACAUCGGAAUCUACUUUUUCGUGGGGGAUAACGUAGGGAAACUUACGCUAAUACCGCAUACGACCUACGGGUGAAAGCAGGGGAUCUUCGGACCUUGCGCGAUUGAAUGAGCCGAUGUCGGAUUAGCUAGUUGGCGGGGUAAAGGCCCACCAAGGCGACGAUCCGUAGCUGGUCUGAGAGGAUGACCAGCCACACUGGAACUGAGACACGGUCCAGACUCCUACGGGAGGCAGCAGUGGGGAAUAUUGGACAAUGGGCGCAAGCCUGAUCCAGCCAUACCGCGUGGGUGAAGAAGGCCUUCGGGUUGUAAAGCCCUUUUGUUGGGAAAGAAAAGCAGCAGGUUAAUACCCCGCUGUUCUGACGUUACCCAAAGAAUAAGCACCGGCUAACUUCGUG
rnacentral:rRNA from 1 species